GCCAGAGUGCAGCCUGGGUGUGCGCAGCACUCAGAAGCGAUUUCAGGAUGUUUUCUGAGAGAGAGAAAGGUGUUUGUUCACUGAGGUGACUCUCACCCGCCUGGAUCACUUGUGUCCAUUCUGAAAUGCCGGAAAAGACUCGGGCCUGUUGAUGUCAGCCCUGCUGAGCACAUUGCCAGGGUGGAUCAGGUUGUGCUUGAUCAUUCGAGGUGGGGCUGGGCAGAGAAUCCUGAUUUGUCUCGAACCUCAGAGGAAAAAGAGUGCUUCAAACCCCAGACCCCCUGUCUAGCUGCAGGAGAGACAAGCAUGCCUGAGUUUGGCCUGGUAAGAGGUACAGUGUGGCCAGAGCCCAGAAGGGUUUCUACUUCCUCCCUGCUUUGAUGAGGUCCGAUGGGGGAUUUGAAGAGACACAUCGGAGUGUCCGGGUGGCUGUCCUUUCAUACUGAAGUUACACAGGUAAGAAUGAGAGCACAGGAAGCAGCCUCCACAGUGGCAGGAAAGCAGC